rnacentral:rRNA from 1 species
UCUGGGCUCGAGCCUGCCUGGAGCCGCCGCCGGUGCAGAUCUUGGUGGUAGUAGCAAAUACUCCAGCGAGGCCCUGGAGGACUGAUGUGGAGAAGGGUUUCGUGUGAACAGCCGUUGCACACGAGUCAGUCGAUCCUAAGCCCUAGGAGAAAUCCGACGCCUACGGCGACGGGAUUUUUGAAAAUGAUUAUGAAACCCGUUGAUCGGGCGAAAGGGAAUCCGGUUCCUAUUCCGGAACCCGGCAGCGGAACCGCUGUUUGUCGGGCCCUCACAAGGGGUUCGUCAGGGUAACCUAAAAGGGCCCGGAGACGCCGUCGGGAGCCCCGGAAAGAGUUUUCUUUUCUGCAUGAGCGUUCGAGUUCCCUGGAAUCCUCUCGCAGGGAGAUAGGGUUUGGAACGCGAAGAGCACCGCAGUUGCGGCGGUGCCCGGGAAUUCCCGACGGACCUUGAAAAUCCGGGAGAGGGCCACGUGGAGGUGUCGCGCCGGCUCGUACCCAUAUCCGCAGCAGGUCUCCAAGGUGAAGAGCCUCUAGUCGAUAGAAUAAUGUAGGUAAGGGAAGUCGGCAAAUCGGAUCCGUAACUUCGGG